UACGUAGGGUGCAAGCGUUGUCCGGAAUUAUUGGGCGUAAAGAGCUCGUAGGCGGUCUGUCGCGUCGGCUGUGAAAACUCGGGGCUCAACCCCGAGCCUGCAGUCGAUACGGGCAGACUUGAGUGCGGUAGGGGAGACUGGAAUUCCUGGUGUAGCGGUGAAAUGCGCAGAUAUCAGGAGGAACACCGGCGGCGAAGGCGGGUCUCUGGGCCGUAACUGACACUGAGGAGCGAAAGCGUGGGGAGCGAACAGG
rnacentral:rRNA from 1 species